GGGCCCGCACAAGCGGUGGAGUAUGUGGUUUAAUUCGAUGCAACGCGAAGAACCUUACCAACCCUUGACAUCCUGUGCUACAUUCAGAGAUGAAUGGUUCCCUUCGGGGACGCAGUGACAGGUGCUGCAUGGCUGUCGUCAGCUCGUGUCGUGAGAUGUUCGGUUAAGUCCGGCAACGAGCGCAACCCACAUCCCUAGUUGCCAGCAGUUCGGCUGGGCACUCUAUGGAAACUGCCCGUGAUAAGCGGGAGGAAGGUGUGGAUGACGUCAAGUCCUCAUGGCCCUUACGGGUUGGGCUACACACGUGCUACAAUGGCAUCUACAGUGGGUUAAUCCCCAAAAGAUGUCUCAGUUCGGAUUGUCGUCUGCAACUCGACGGCAUGAAGUCGGAAUCGCUAGUAAUCGCAGGUC
rnacentral:rRNA from 1 species